AGGUAAGCUACUAAGAGCGAAUGGUGGAUGCCUUGACUGGUAAAGGCGAUGAAGGACGUACUAGACUGCGAUAAGCUACGGGGAGCUGUCAAGAAGCUUUGAUCCGUAGAUUUCCGAAUGGGGCAACCCAAUGUAUAGAGAUAUACAUUACCUAUAUAGGAGCGAACGAGGGGAAUUGAAACAUCUUAGUACCCUCAGGAAAAGAAAUCAAUAGAGAUUGCGUCAGUAGCGGCGAGCGAAAGCGCAAGAGGGCAAACCCAGUGCUUGCACUGGGGGUUGUAGGACUGCAAUGUGCAAGAGGUAAGUUUAGCAGAACAUUCUGGAAAGUAUAACCAUAGAGGGUGAUAGUCCCGUAUGCGAAAAACAAACCUUAGCUAGCAGUAUCCUGAGUAGGGCGGGACACGAGGAAUCCUGUCUGAAUCCGGGUCGACCACGAUCCAACCCUAAAUACUAAUACCAGAUCGAUAGUGCACAAGUACCGUGAGGGAAAGGUGAAAAGAACUGAGGUGAUCAGAGUGAAAUAGAACCUGAAACCAUUUGCUUACAAUCAUUCAGAGCCCUAUGUAGCAAUACAGGGUGAUGGACUGCCUUUUGCAUAAUGAGCCUGCGAGUUGUGGUGUCUGGCAAGGUUAAGCAAACGCGAAGCCGUAGCGAAAGCGAGUCUGAAUAGGGCGCUUAGUCAGAUGCUGCAGACCCGAAACGAAGUGAUCUAUCCAUGAGCAAGUUGAAGCUAGUGUAAGAACUAGUGGAGGACUGAACCCAUAGGCGUUGAAAAGCCCCGGGAUGACUUGUGGAUAGGGGUGAAAGGCCAAUCAAACUUCGUGAUAGCUGGUUCUCUCCGAAAUAUAUUUAGGUAUAGCGUUGUGUCGUAAUAUAAGGGGGUAGAGCACUGAAUGGGCUAGGGCAUACACCAAUGUACCAAACCCUAUCAAACUCCGAAUACCUUAUAUGUAAUCACAGCAGUCAGGCGGCGAGUGAUAAAAUCCGUCGUCAAGAGGGAAACAACCCAGACUACCAGCUAAGGUCCCUAAAUCUUACUUAAGUGGAAAACGAUGUGAAGUUACUUAAACAACCAGGAGGUUGGCUUAGAAGCAGCCAUCCUUUAAAGAAAGCGUAAUAGCUCACUGGUCUAGUGAUUUUGCGCGGAAAAUAUAACGGGGCUAAAGUAAGUACCGAAGCUGUAGACUUAGUUUACUAAGUGGUAGGAGAGCGUUCUAUUUGCGUCGAAGGUAUACCGGUAAGGAGUGCUGGAGCGAAUAGAAGUGAGCAUGCAGGCAUGAGUAGCGAUAAUUAAUGUGAGAAUCAUUAACGCCGUAAACCCAAGGUUUCCUACGCGAUGCUCGUCAUCGUAGGGUUAGUCGGGUCCUAAGUCGAGUCCGAAAGGGGUAGACGAUGGCAAAUUGGUUAAUAUUCCAAUACCAACAUUAGUGUGCGAUGGAAGGACGCUUAGGGCUAAGGGGGCUAGCGGAUGGAAGUGCUAGUCUAAGGUCGUAGGAGGUUAUAUAGGCAAAUCCGUAUAACAAUACUCCGAGAACUGAAAGGCUUUUUGAAGUCUUCGGAUGGAUAGAAGAACCCCUGAUGCCGUCGAGCCAAGAAAAGUUUCUAAGUUUAGCUAAUGUUGCCCGUACCGUAAACCGACACAGGUGGGUGGGAUGAGUAUUCUAAGGCGCGUGGAAGAACUCUCUUUAAGGAACUCUGCAAAAUAGCACCGUAUCUUCGGUAUAAGGUGUGGUUAGCUUUGUAUUAGGAUUUACUCCGAAAGCAAGGAAACUUACAACAAAGAGUCCCUCCCGACUGUUUACCAAAAACACAGCACUCUGCUAACUCGUAAGAGGAUGUAUAGGGUGUGACGCCUGCCCGGUGCUCGAAGGUUAAUUGAUGGGGUUA
rnacentral:rRNA from 1 species